rnacentral:rRNA from 1 species
GACGAACGCUGGCGGCGUGCUUAACACAUGCAAGUCGAACGGAAAGGCACUGCUUUUGUGGGGUGACCGAGUGGCGAACGGGUGAGUAACACGUGAGUAACCUGCUCUUGAUUUUGGGAUAACUUCAGGAAACUGGGGCUAAUACCGGAUAGGAGAUCCUGCUGCAUGGUGGGGGUUGGAAAGUUUCGGCGGUUGGGGAUGGACUCGCGGCUUAUCAGCUUGUUGGUGGGGUAGUGGCUUACCAACGCUUUGGCGGAUAGCCGGCCUGUGAGGGUGACCGGCGACAAGGGGACUGAGGGACGGCGCAGACGCGAACGGUGGGCAGCAGGGGGAAAUAUUACACAGUGGGCGGGAGUCUGAGGCGACGACGCCGCGGUCGGAAAGACGGCCUGCUGGGUAAAAACCGCAGUCGGCUAAGACGAAGCGUUAGUGACGGUAAUGAAAGAAGAAGCACCGGCUAACUACGUG